rnacentral:rRNA from 1 species
CAGUAGCGUAUAUUAAAGUUGUUGCAGUUAAAAUGCUCGUAGUUGAAGUUCGGAUGCAGCAGAGCUUGGAAACGCUGUUAUGGUGCUUCCGUUGCUUUUGCUUGUCCACAGUGCGUUGCAAGUACGUAUGUGCUUGUGCGUGCAUUUUACUCUGAGAAACAUAGGGUGUUCCACGCAUGUUACGGCAUGAAUAUUCCAGCAUGGGAUAAUCUGGUACGACUUCCAAUCUGCCAUUUUGGUUCGUAGGUUGGAAGUAAUGAUUAAUAGGGACUGUCGGGGGCAUUGGUAUUUGACUGUCAGAGGUGAAAUUCUUAGAUUCGUUGAGGACCAACCACUGCGAAAGCAUUUGUCAAGGAUGUCUCCAUUAA